rnacentral:rRNA from 1 species
GCGGACGGGUGAGUAAUGCCUAGGAAUCUGCCUGGUAGUGGGGGAUAACGUUCGGAAACGGACGCUAAUACCGCAUACGUCCUACGGGAGAAAGCAGGGGACCUUCGGGCCUUGCGCUAUCAGAUGAGCCUAGGUCGGAUUAGCUAGUUGGUGGGGUAAUGGCUCACCAAGGCGACGAUCCGUAACUGGUCUGAGAGGAUGAUCAGUCACACUGGAACUGAGACACGGUCCAGACUCCUACGGGAGGCAGCAGUGGGGAAUAUUGGACAAUGGGCGAAAGCCUGAUCCAGCCAUGCCGCGUGUGUGAAGAAGGUCUUCGGAUUGUAAAGCACUUUAAGUUGGGAGGAAGGGUUGUAGAUUAAUACUCUGCAAUUUUGACGUUACCGACCGAAGAAGCACCGGCUAACUCUGUGCCAGCAGCCGCGGUAAUACAGAGGGUGCAAGCGUUAAUCGGAAUUACUGGGCGUAAAGCGCGCGUAGGUGGUUUGUUAAGUUGGAUGUGAAAUCCCCGGGCUCAACCUGGGAACUGCAUUCAAAACUGACUGACUAGAGUAUG